CCCGGGCCUUGUACACACCGCCCGUCACGUCACGAAAGUUGGUAACACCCGAAGCCGAUGGCCUAACCCGCUUGCGGGAGGGAGUUGUCGAAGGUGGGACUGGCGAUUGGGACG
rnacentral:rRNA from 1 species